AUUCCUACUCUGCUCGAAACCUUUAUGUUCUUAUUCUUCUGCUUCUCCGUCGCUGCAUUCCAGAACUUGGAGUAGUUCAACUGCUUCCCUAUCAUCUCCGAUACUCCAGAGUACGCUAAUACCAAGAAGCUCCCGACCGUAACGGCUGAAACCACUGCAGACGCCGGCGGCGGGAAAACCAACUUCAACAGCACAGAAGACAUCACCGUCGCCAUGCUGCUUAAUCGAUAAUUAAGAAAUUGAAACACGUGAUGUCGGAGCUGUGGGGGCGGAGGAUCUUAUCUUGAAGAUAUUGGAUCAAUUAUUCAUUAAUUAAAAAUUGAUCCAUGAUUAGGUACGGAAAAGAAAGGAGGUGUUUUUAAAAUAAAUAAAUUAAAUAUUUUAUUUACAAAUAUAAAUAUAAAUCUAAAUGAAAUAUGAAUAACUUUUUUUUUGUUUACAACUUUAUUUCAUUUAUAUUAUAAACGUAAUAAGUUAGACGCUUAUAAAAAUAAAUUAUGAUAUUUGUUACGGUACCAUCAUAAAUUCAUACGUAUCGAUACAAUUAAAAUGUAGACAAAUUAAAACACGACACGUGAAUUAUAUUUUCUACGACAGUAAUUAAUUUUUUUUUUAAAUAUAUAUUAUAUCAAUUAUUUUGCUAAAUUAUCCUUAUACUUUAAUAAAAAUAAAAAAUAUUUUUUAUUUAAUAUUAUAAAAAGACUAAAAUACUCUUUUUAUAUUAAACAAAAAUUAAUUUAAAAAUCAAAAUCAAAAUACAUCUCAUUAUUCAUAUACAUUGAAAAAUUAUUUCAUUGAUCAUGAAUCCUAAUCUAAUCUCUCUCACCUCUGUUCAUACCAAAAAAAACACAUCUGAACAAUUUUUUUUCAUCAUUGAAUAUCAAUCUACCAAUAAAAUAUAACCUCAUCCCUAAUUCCUACUCGGACAGCAACAGCCUAUCCUCACCUUCUCUCUUCAUCGUAGCCGCGCUCUCUCUCCGUCGUUCUUCACGCAAGCAGCCGCCUUGUCGUUCCCCAUGCAUCAACAGCUCAUCGUGUCAUCCUCCACGUAGCAGCAACCCCGUAUCACUCUCUAGCGUCGUGCCUUCCUCCACUCCUCCCUGCAAUUGCCACUCUCUGUCUUCCGUUUGCAGCUGUUCAGCCCUGCCGUUUCCGUCGUCUAGCCCCACAGUUUUCGUCGACACAGUCCCCUGCAUCUAGAAUGGAGACUCAGAUGGUGAUACACAGUUGAACCAAGGGGAUGAUGAAGAUAUGGUUUCAGGCUCCAGCAGCAAGCAGAGUUACAAUUUUCAAGCUUCUAAUGUUAAUCCUAAGAGAGAAAAGUACCUCAGAUACCGGACCAGACUUAAUGCUGCAGAGUAUGCUUGUUUUAGCUGUGUAAUUUAGUUUUUAUAUAUGUUUCAAAAAUGCCAACCUAUCCUAGAUUCAAACCUUAUGUUUUCUUGGCUUCUUUCAUGCGGUUUUAAUGCAUGUAAUGUGAAAUAUACCUUCAUCCUUUGGUAAAGAAUUAGGAAGUACAUAUUGAGGUUUGGUAACCA